GGGCCCGCACAAGCGGUGGAGCAUGUGGUUUAAUUCGAUGAUACGCGAGGAACCUUACCAGGGCUUAAAUGUAAGUUGCAUAGAUCAGAGAUGGUCUUUUCUUCGGACUACUUACAAGGUGCUGCAUGGUUGUCGUCAGCUCGUGCCGUGAGGUGUCAGGUUAAGUCCUAUAACGAGCGCAACCCCUGUUGUUAGUUGCCAGCGAGUCAUGUCGGGAACUCUAACAAGACUGCCGGUGCAAACCGUGAGGAAGGUGGGGAUGACGUCAAAUCAUCACGGCCCUUACGUCCUGGCUGCAAACACGCUACAAUGGCUGGUACAGAGGGCUGCGAACCCGCGAGGCAAGCGAA
rnacentral:rRNA from 1 species